AGCCCCGGAAGGGACAUGUCCGUAUGGCGAAGCGACAAUGAAGGACACUCACCCGGACGAGAAUUUUAUUGAGUUUUAUUUUGAAAUCGGCCUGAAAUACACAGACAUUCAAGCAGUGCGAUGCGCUAAGAGUCUGCCAUGCAGACCAGCGAUCCUGAUAAUGUUGUCGGCCUUGGAUGAUGAGGUCCAGUUACCAGGAGCACUAGUCUGCAGCUUACUGGUUCCGUCCUGCAGCUCCUCCACGCUGUCCUCCUCUCUACAGACCAAAUCAAGAAAAGGGAACCAGGAAGCUGCUGUGGAUCCUCUGCAGUAUCUGGAGAGGUCAGAGGAACGGUUCUUGGAACAGAUCGGAAGACACCAAGACGUGACCUCUGCCAUGCUCCAGAACAUCCAGAAGAUGAAUGAAAACCUUGGUUGCACUGAUGGGACGCAUGGUGUCGGUGCUGGAGCAACUGUCCCAGAAUUAAACUGCAUUGUUGACUAUUGGCUUUUCUAGAAAAUAAAUCUUUUUUAGUACUUCA